ACAAAAGUGAAAAUAAGCGUGACAAAUCUCUAUCUCUAUACCUAAUAAAAGAACAAGGUUGGGCCACGUGUCAUCACCACAAGCAACCACCUUUGUCUCUCUCUUAUGUGUCAAUCCCAGCUUUCUUCAAGUCUACGUGUCCAUUCCUCCAUUUUUUCAGUUAUUAUUAUUUUUUUUUAAAACAAUUGGUAAAGAUGAAAGAUCAUUAUGAGGGCAGACAAAAAGACAAAUCUCUGAAUCAAAAGGAGUCUGCAAAAGUCUCUUCACAUGAAUUCAAAAUUCAAAUCUCUGAAAACUCCUUCACAUCAUCCAAGAAUUCAAAAUUUAAAACCCUCACUCUCUUCACACCAAAAUCAACUCACAUAAUCCCCACUCUCUUCACACCCAUUCACAUCAUAAUCUCAUCUGGGUUUUGAGAUUAAAACAACAUGUACGGAAGAGAUCCGUGGGGCGGGCCGUUGGAGAUCAACAACGCGAAUUCAGCCCCCGAUGACGACCGGAGCCGGAAUCUGAACGAUUUCGAUAAGGCAGGGCUGUCUCUUUGUAAGUACGAUCGUAACCCUAGCUUGCAUAUACACAUGUUUCCAUCGGUUACAUAUCUCAAUUAUUAGCUUGCAUAUACACAUGUUUCCAUCGUAACCCUAGCUUGCAUAUACACAUGUUUCCAUGGGUCCUCUUUCUCUCUCUUCAUACCCAUCAUGAACUCAUUCUUUUCUUGAAAAAGAAAAAAAGAAAAAUUGUUUCUUGUACGAGAUCGAUCAUCUGAACACACAAAUGGCUGAUGAUAAGAGAGCCAAGGGAGUUUGGUUUUGUGUAGUUACAGAGGCAGAUACUAAAAAAUGCACGCAUGUUGAAAGCAGGGUAGAAGCAUGGUGACUUAUGGUGUUAUGGCUAGAAGCCAAUAACUGUGUCAACAUCAGCCUCCGUAUUUAAACCCAUAAUCAAGACAAUAAUGGGUUAUUUCUGGUCUGAUCAAGAUGCGGCCUUUGACUUGCCUUGAAGGCCUAUCUAAGCGAGGUAAAGGGAUGUACCAAGUGGUCUCUGCGAUUGCUGUUGUCACAAGUUUUACAUUGUUGCUAAAUGGUGAAGCAAAAUUUAUCCAUAACACAUAUUAGUAUGCAGCAGGAUAUAAUAGGUUCAGGUGGAACAACAGGGCAGUCUCAAAGGUUAAUCUUUCUUGUUUGGAGGGUGAUAGUUGCUUGGCUUGGAGAAAUCUGCCUCUAGAGGCGCUGGCUAAACAAGGCUUUUGUCCACCUAAUGGUUAACCAUCGCAACGUGCGGGCAUCCCCAUAUAUUAACAUUUGGGGAAAUAUAUGAAGUUUCAUAAUCAAGUUUAUUGUUCUAUUGAAUUUAGGUCUAAGUUUAAACAUAUACAAAAUCAUAUUUAAUACUACUUCCGUCCCAUUAACAAUAUAAAUUAAUUUUUCCUGCCCGGGAAGUUCCCGGGUUA